UACGUAGGGGGCAAGCGUUGUCCGGAUUUAUUGGGCGUAAAGAGCGUGUAGGCGGCUUGGUAGGUCCGCUGUGAAAACUCGAGGCUCAACCUCGAGAUGUCGGCGGAAACCACUUGGCUAGAGUCCGGAAGAGGAGAGUGGAAUUCCCGGUGUAGCGGUGAAAUGCGCAGAUAUCGGGAAGAGCACCUAUGGCGAAGGCAGCUCUCUGGGACGGUACUGACGCUGAGACGCGAAAGCGUGGGGAGCGAACAGG
rnacentral:rRNA from 1 species